rnacentral:rRNA from 1 species
AUGGCCGCCGCCCCCUCCCCUUCCACCGUGGUCGCCGCCCCCUAUCGUGCGACGGCGAGCCCGCCCUCCCGUCCCCCUCUCCUCUGGUCGCCCUCAUGCACUGCAUCGCCUCCUGGUCGCCCUCUCUCUCUCUGUGUAUUCCCCCCUGCCACCACCACCACGGCCAACUCUGGCGAGGUCCGUCGCCAUACAGCACAUCCACGAGCUCAUCUCGUGACGCUGCUCCUUCUCCACCGCGUUGACCCGACGUGCCGCCCCUCUAUGCACGGCCUCGGCUAA